UGCAUAGGAAUCUACCUAGUAGUAUGGGAUAGCCACUAGAAAUGGUGGGUAAUACUGUAUAAUCCCUGCGGGGGAAAGAUUUAUCGCUAUUAGAUGAGCCUAUGUUAGAUUAGCUAGUUGGUAGGGUAAAGGCCUACCAAGGCAGUGAUCUAUAGCUGGUCUGAGAGGAUGAUCAGCCACACUGGAACUGAGAUACGGUCCAGACUCCUACGGGAGGCAGCAGUGGGGAAUAUUGGACAAUGGGCGCAAGCCUGAUCCAGCUAUGCCGCGUGAGUGAGGAAGGCCUUAGGGUUGUAAAACUCUUUCAGUGGGGAAGAUAAUGACGGUACCCACAGAAGAAGUCCCGGCAAACUCCGUGCCAGCAGCCGCGGUAAUACGGAGGGGGCAAGCGUUGUUCGGAAUUAUUGGGCGUAAAGGGCAUGUAGGCGGUUCGGUAAGUUAAAGGUGAAAUGCCAGGGCUUAACCCUGGAGCUGCUUUUAAUACUGCCAGACUCGAGUCCGGGAGAGGAUAGCGGAAUUCCUAGUGUAGAGGUGAAAUUCGUAGA
rnacentral:rRNA from 1 species